GCAUGGUAUGCCAUAUACAAGGGUCACAUGAAGAAGCAUCAGGGACCAUCAGGUGACAAAGAGCUGGAGAGGACAAUGUGGUCAAGUGGUUAGUUCUCUGAAGUGGGAACUUGCCCUUGGAUGCCUGGUAUCUGGAUCUGACCUGAUUCAAGUGAGUGAGAAAGUCCAGCAAUUAGAGGCUCGUGCCACACAAGCCUGGGACGCGUGUACAGGUGGAACUCCUGGGACCCGUGUACAGGUACAUGUUCCAGGUCAGCUGACCUACGAGCUUCCGAUCAUUCUCCUGUCACAGUUUCCCAUGUCAUCACAGAAGUGCUGGAAUUAAAGAUCAGCACCACAGCAUCUGGUAUUUUAUGUGUGUUUCUGGGGAUAGAACUCAAGUCAUCAGAUUUGUGUGGCAAGCGGCCCACUGAGCCAUCUCCCUAGCCUUGUUCCACCCAGGACUCUCAGUAUUAUCUAGAAUGCAGCUGAUGGGAGUGGACAGCACUGCCUUGCUCCUGAUCUCAGGGGAAGGCUUCCAGUCAUUCACUGUCAAGCAGUUAGUUGAAGGAUGCUUGGAAAUGCUGUCUAUUGGUCUGAGAAGGUCUCCUUCUAUUCCCAAACAGUGAGGAAUGGACUGAAUUUUGCCAAAACCUUCUCUGUAUUAUGCUUUGGGACUAUGCGGUUUUCCUUUUAUAGACUGUCAAUAUUGUAGAGUAAUCUGACUUUCAAACACUGAUCAAUUCUGGAAUUCUCAGAAUAAAAACCACUAUGUUGUAA